rnacentral:rRNA from 1 species
UACGGAGGGGGCGAGCGUUAUUCGGAAUUAUUGGGCGUAAAGGGCGCGUAGGCGGCCUGAUAAGUCAAAGGUGAAAUCCCUCGGCUCAACUGAGGAAUUGCCUUUGAAACUGUCAGGCUUGAGGCCGGGAGGGGGUGGCGGAAUUCCCAGUGUAGCGGUGAAAUGCGUAGAUAUUGGGAGGAACACCAGUGGCGAAGGCGGCCACCUGGACCGGUUCUGACGCUGAUGCGCGAAAGCGUGGGGAGCGAACAGG